UACGUAGGGGGCUAGCGUUGUCCGGAUUUAUUGGGCGUAAAGAGCGUGUAGGCGGCCAGGUAGGUCCGCUGUGAAAGUCCGAGGCUCAACCUCGGAAUGUCGGCGGAAACCCUCUGGCUAGAGUCCGGAAGAGGAGAGUGGAAUUCCCGGUGUAGCGGUGAAAUGCGCAGAUAUCGGGAAGAACACCCGUGGCGAAGGCGGCUCUCUGGAACGGUACUGACGCUGAGGCGCGAAAGCGUGGGGAGCGAACAGG
rnacentral:rRNA from 1 species